UGGGGAAUCUUUGGACAAUGGGGGCAACCCUGAUCCAGCCAUGCCGCGUGAGUGAUGAAGGGCCUUAGGGUCGUAAAGCUCUUUCGCCUGUGAAGAUAAUGACGGUAGCAGGUAAAGAAACCCCGGCUAACUCCGUGCCAGCAGCCGCGGUAAUACGGAGGGGGUUAGCGUUGUUCGGAAUUUACUGGGCGUAAAGCGCACGUAGGCGGACCAGAAAGUUGGGGGUGAAAUCCCGGGGGCUCAACCCCGGAACUGCCUCCAAAACUAUUGGUCUAGAGUUCGAGAGAGGUGAGUGGAAUUCCAAGUGUAGAGGUGAAAUUCGUAGAUAUUUGGAGGAACACCAGUGGCGAAGGCGGCUCACUGGCUCGAUACUGACGCUGAGGUGCGAAAGUGUGGGGAGCAAACAGGAUUAGAUACCCUGGUAGUCCACGCCGUAAAACGAUGUCUGCUAGACGUCGGGGGGCGCAGACCCUUCGGUGUCGCAGCUAACGGCA
rnacentral:rRNA from 1 species